rnacentral:rRNA from 1 species
AGUGAACGCUGGCGGUAGGCCUAACACAUGCAAGUCGAACGGCAGCACAGUAAGAGCUUGCUCUUACGGGUGGCGAGUGGCGGACGGGUGAGGAAUACAUCGGAAUCUACUUUUUCGUGGGGGAUAACGUAGGGAAACUUACGCUAAUACCGCAUACGACCUACGGGUGAAAGCAGGGGAUCUUCGGAACUUGCGCGAUUGAAUGCGCCGAUGUCGGAUUAGCUAGUUGGCGGGGUAAAGGCCCACCAAGGCGACGAUCCGUAGCUGGUCUGAGAGGAUGAUCAUCCACACUGGAACUGAGACACGUUCCAGACUCCUACGGGAGGCAGCAGUGGGGAAUAUUGGACGAUGGGCGAAAGCCUGAUCCAGCAAUACCGCGUGGGUGAAGAUGGACUUCGGGUUGUAAAGCCCUUUUGUUGGGAAAGAAGAGCAGCAGGUUAAUACCCCGCUGUUCUGACGGUACCCGAAGAAUAAGCACCGGCUAACUUCGUG